rnacentral:rRNA from 1 species
GACGAACGCUGGCGGCGUGCUUAACACAUGCAAGUGGAGCGACGAACCGGGGCUUGCCCCGGGGCAAAGCCGCGAACGGGUGAGUAACACGUGGGUAACCUACCCCGAUGAUUGGGACAACCCGAGGAAACUCGGGCUAAUACCAAAUGUGCUCGAAGCUCAUGAGGGCUUCGAGUAAAGAUAGCUUCGGCCUUCGCAUCGGGAUGGGCCCGCGGCCCAUUAGCUUGUUGGUGAGGUAACGGCUCACCAAGGCGACGAUGGGUAGCUGGUCUGAGAGGACGAUCAGCCACACUGGGACUGAGACACGGCCCAGACUCCUACGGGAGGCAGCAGUGGGGAAUCUUGCGCAAUGCGCGAAAGCGUGACGCAGCAACGCCGCGUGGGGGAAGAAGGCCUUCGGGUUGUAAACCCCUUUCAGUUGGGACGAAGCUCCGUCGGUGAAUAGCCGGCCGGAGUGACGGUACCUUCACAAGAAGCCCCGGCUAACUACGUGCCAGCCGCCGCGGUAACAC